CGAGGGAGAGUCAGACUACUUUACCAUAGCGGCAGUCACCAUUGAACGGUGAAGGUGUUUUUGUCUCUCUUGUCGUUCGGAUUCACACGUGUUUCCUCUCGUACCGUACUAAGUGCCAUCGUAAGUGUUUUCCGAGGUCGGCUCUCUUAGGAACACCGAUAUAACACACAGGUCGAUACAGUGCAUUAUAGGUCGUCCCAUCAUCAAUGACCCUUCUCUGCUGAGCAAGAUGAUGUCACAUCUACCUCUGAGAUAAGAGGACGACCUACUUCAGAGGACCCAGAAGAAGGU